UGCCAACGGCAUAGCUGGGUAGCUAUGUGUGGACGGGAUAAGUGCUGAAAGCAUCUAAGCAUGAAGCCCCCCUCAAGAUGAGAUUUCCCAACUUCGGUUAUAAGAUCCCUCAAAGAUGAUGAGGUUAAUAGGUUCGAGGUGGAAGCAUGGUGACAUGUGGAGCUGACGAAUACUAAUCGAUCGAAGACUUAAUCAAAA
rnacentral:rRNA from 1 species